rnacentral:rRNA from 1 species
AAACUUUCAACAACGGAUCUCUUGGUUCUGGCAUCGAUGAAGAACGCAGCGAAAUGCGAUAAGUAAUGUGAAUUGCAGAAUUCAGUGAAUCAUCGAAUCUUUGAACGCACAUUGCGCCCCGCUAGUACUCUAGCGGGCAUGCCUGUUCGAGCGUCAUUU